AUUGAACGCUGGCGGCAGGCCUAACACAUGCAAGUCGAGCGAGCGGCGGACGGGUGAGUAAUGUAUGGGGAUCUGCCCGAUAGAGGGGGAUAACUAAUGGACACGGUAGCUAAUACCGCAUACCAUCAGAUGUGCCCAGAUGGGAUUAUCUAGUAGGUUGGGUAAUGGCUCACCUAGGCGACGAUCCCUAGCUGGUCUGAGAGGAUGACCAGCCACACGGGAACUGAGACACGGUGCAGACUGCUACGGGAGGCAGCAGUGGGAAAUAUUGCACAAUGGGCGCAAGCCGGAUGCAGCCAUGCCGCGUGUGUGAAGAAGGCCUUCGGGUUGUAAAUCUCUUUCAGCGAGGAGGCGUUACUCUCAGAAGAAGCACCGGCUAACUCCGGUCCAGCAGCCGCGGUAAUAC
rnacentral:rRNA from 1 species